UACGUAGGGGGCAAGCGUUGUCCGGAUUUAUUGGGCGUAAAGAGCGUGUAGGCGGCCAGGUAGGUGGGUUGUGAAAGUCGGGGGCUCAACCCUCGGAUGCCGAUCGAUACUGUCGGGCUAGAGUCCGGAAGAGGCGAGUGGAAUUCCUGGUGUAGCGGUGAAAUUCGUAGAUAUCGGGUGGAACACCUGUGGCGAAGGCGGCCAUCUGGACGUCAACUGACGCUGAGACGCGAAAGCGUGGGGAGCAAACAGG
rnacentral:rRNA from 1 species